rnacentral:rRNA from 1 species
AUUGAACGCUGGCGGCAGGCCUAACACAUGCAAGUCGAACGAGUGGCGGACGGGUGAGUAAUGCUUGGGAAUCUGGCUUAUGGAGGGGGAUAACGACGGGAAACUGUCGCUAAUACCGCAUACCAUCGGAUGAGCCCAUGUGGGAUUAGGUAGUUGGUGGGGUAACGGCGCACCAAGCCGACGAUCUCUAGCUGGUCUGAGAGGAUGACCAGCCACACUGGGACUGAGACACGGCCCAGACUCCUACGGGAGGCAGCAGUGGGGAAUAUUGCGCAAUGGGGGCAACCUGACGCAGCCAUGCCGCGUGAAUGAAGAAGGCCUUAGGGUUGUAAAGUACUUUCGGUGAGGAGGCGUUAACCACAGAAGAAGCACCGGCUAACUCCGUGCCAGCCGCCGCGGUAAUUC